ACUCCGAAACUGCAUUCGAUACUGCCGUGCUUGAGGACUGGAGAGGAGACUGGAAUUUACGGUGUAGCGGUGAAAUGCGUAGAUAUCGUAAGGAAGACCAGUGGCGAAGGCGGGUCUCUGGACAGUUCCUGACGCUGAGGCACGAAGGCCAGGGGAGCAAACGGGAUUAGAUACCCCGGUAGUCCUGGCAGUAAACGGUGCACGUUUGGUGUGGGAGGAUUCGACCCCUUCUGCGCCGGAGCUAACGCGUUAAACGUGCCGCCUGGGGAGUACGGUCGCAAGAUUAAAACUCAAAGAAAUUGACGGGGGCCCGCACAAGCGGUGGAGUAUGUGGCUCAAUUCGAUGCAACGCGAAGAACCUUACCAGGCCUUGACAUGCAUCUCUAAGCUGGUGAAAGCCAGUGAGUCCCGAAAGGGACAAUUUGCACAGGUGCUG
rnacentral:rRNA from 1 species